rnacentral:rRNA from 1 species
UACAGAGGAUGCAAGCGUUAUCCGGAAUGAUUGGGCGUAAAGCGUCUGCAGGUGGCAGUUCAAGUCUGCUGUCAAAGACCGGGGCUUAACUUCGGAAAGGCAGUGGAAACUGAACAGCUAGAGUAUGGUAGGGGCAGAGGGAAUUCCUGGUGUAGCGGUGAAAUGCGUAGAGAUCAGGAAGAACAUCGGUGGCGAAGGCGCUCUGCUGGACCAUAACUGACACUCAGGGACGAAAGCUAGGGGAGCGAAUGGG